CUCUGCCUCUUUUAUUGCUCUUUCAAAUAAUAGACUUACCUUCAGAAAAUGCUAACUCUAUCAUUUUCAACUUCCCAGUAANNNNAUUCAACAAUUCUUCAUUGUUUAUAGACUUAAAUCCCAUGUAUAAUCAGGUUGUAGAGCAUCUCUGCUUGCCUGGGAGAUGUGUGCAAGGUCAUCUCUCCUUGCUCACUAACUCUUACCCAUGACACCCAUACCUAAAAGUACAUGAACCUCUGCCUUUGCCUGCACCCUUUCCUCUAGGGAACUUUACUUCUUGCUUGAGCAAGGAGAUAAACUCCUCAUCAUUCUUCAUUAUCCUCCUCUAAUGGCUUCACCCAAGCUUCCAUGCACUCUGUUAAGCUGAGUUGCUAUUUUCCAUUUUUCUGCUUCUCUAGGUUUUAUCCCGACAAGUACUAAUACAUCUUUUCUAUCACAUAAUGUAUACUUGCUUUCAAGUCACUCUGUUUUUUUCUAUUUUGAAGAGAAAUACCAUCAGCUAUUUUAUCCCCACUGCUUGACACUGCUUGACACUGCUUGAUAUUUUUCAAUAAAUAUCUGUUGGAUAAAUCAAGAUGUGCACGUUUAUCCCAUGUGCAUAUUCUUACAUAUACAAAUUUACAUAUAUUUACACUCAUAUACCUAAACAUGACUACUCACACAA
rnacentral:lncRNA from 1 species